GAUGUAGCUGACCUAUCAUGGAGGAGCAGGAUGAUGAUGUAGCUGACCUAUCAUGGAGGAGCAGGAUGAUGAUGUAGCUGACCUAUCAUGGAGGAGAAGGAUGAUGAUGUAGCUGACCUAUCAUGGAGGAGCAGGAUGAUGAUGUAACUGACCUAUCAUGGAGGAGCAGGGGUGAUGAUGUAGCUGACCUAUCAUGGAGGAGCAGGAUUGAUGAUGUAGCUGACCUAUCAUGGAGGAGCAGGAUGAUGAUGUAGCUGACCUAUCAUGGAGGAGCAGGGUGAUGAUGUAGCUGACCUAUCAUGGAGGAGCAGGAUGAUGAUGUAGCUGACCUAUCAUGGAGGAGCAGGUGUGAUGAUGUAGCUGACCUAUCAUGGAGGAGCAGGAUGAUGAUGUAGCUGACCUAUCAUGGAGGAGCAGGAUGAUGAUGUAGCUGACCUAUCAUGGAGGAGCAGGAUGAUGAUGUAGCUGACCUAUCAUGGAGGAGCAGGAUGAUGAUGUAGCUGACCUAUCAUGGAGAAGCAGGUUGAUGAUGUAGCUGACCUAUCAUGGAGGAGAAGGAUGAUGAUGUAGCUGACCUAUCAUGGAGGAGCAGGGUGAUGAUGUAGCUGACCUAUCAUGGAGGAGAAGGAUGAUGAUGUAGCUGACCUAUCAUGGAGGAGCAGGGGUGAUGAUGUAGCUGACCUAUCAUGGAGGAGCAGGGUGAUGAUGUAGCUGACCUAUCAUGGAGGAGCAGGAGUGAUGAUGUAGCUGACCUAUCAUGGAGGAGCAGGAUGAUGAUGUAGCUGACCUAUCAUGGAAGAGCAGGGUGAUGAUGUAGCUGACCUAUCAUGGAGGAGCAGGG
rnacentral:lncRNA from 1 species